rnacentral:rRNA from 1 species
AUUGAACGCUGGCGGCAUGCUUUACACAUGCAAGUCGAACGGUAACAGGUUAAGCUGACGAGUGGCAAACGGGUGAGUAAUGCAUCGGAACGUGCCCGAUCGUGGGGGAUAACGCAGCGAAAGCUGCGCUAAUACCGCAUACGAUCUGAGGAUGAAAGCGGGGGACCGUAAGGGCUCGCGAGAUCGGAGCGGCCGAUGGCAGAUUAGGUAGUUGGUGGGGUAAAGGCUCACCAAGCCGACGAGCUGUAGCUGGUCUGGGAGGACGACCAGCCACACUGGGACUGAGACACGGCCCAGACUCCUACGGGAGGCGGCAGUGGGGAAUUUUGGACAAUGGGCGCAAGCCUGAUCCAGCAAUGCCGCGUGCAGGAAGAAGGCCUUCGGGUUUUAGACUGCUUUUGUACGGAGCGAAAAGGCUCUCUCUAAUACAGGGGGCUCAUGACGGUACCGUAAGAAUAAGCACCGGCUAACUACGUGCCAGCAGCCGCAGUAA